rnacentral:rRNA from 1 species
AUCAGAUGUGCCCAGAUGGGAUUAGCUAGUAGGUGGGGUAACGGCUCACCUAGGCGACGAUCCCUAGCUGGUCUGAGAGGAUGACCAGCCACACUGGAACUGAGACACGGUCCAGACUCCUACGGGAGGCAGCAGUGGGGAAUCUUGCACAAUGGGCGCAAGCCUGAUGCAGCCAUGCCGCGUGUGUGAAGAAGGCCUUCGGGUUGUAAAGCACUUUCAGCGGGGAGGAAGGCGUUAAGGUUAAUAACCUCAUCGAUUGACGUUACCCGCAGAAGAAGCACCGGCUAACUCCGUGCCAGCAGCCGCGGUAAUACGGAGGGUGCAAGCGUUAAUCGGAAUUACUGGGCGUAAAGCGCACGCAGGCGGUCUGUCAAGUCGGAUGUGAAAUCCCCGGGCUCAACCUGGGAACUGCAUUCGAAACUGGCAGGCUAGAGUCUUGUAGAGGGGGGUAGAAUUCCAGGUGUAGCGGUGAAAUGCGUAGAGA